CCAGCCACGAGGGGGGAGGGCGGCCCGUUGUUGUCAGGGUGCCUUUCAGCAGUGGCUUGUCCUUCUCAUAUGCUGCCGCCGAGAGACAGAUCCAUGAUGACCCCAGCGUCGCCCUCUUCUACCUGGAGAAGGGCUUUAAGUCAGGCUCCAAGUCGAGCGUACAAUUCAAGAAGACCACCACCGGCGCAGCUUUUCAUCCGCGAAAAGAAGCAGAGUCCAUACCCUUCUCGUCGGCGAAGCUCCGGGAGAUUCUUAACUACUACGGCGUCAAUCCUGGUUCAGCAGAAGCACUGGUGAUGGAGAAGACGGUUCAAGAGUGCGAGAACCUGGCAGCGAGGUGGGGAGG
rnacentral:lncRNA from 1 species